GAUGAAGAACGUAGCGAAAUGCGAUAAGUAAUGUGAAUUGCAGAAUUCAGUGAAUCAUCGAAUCUUUGAACGCACAUUGCGCCCGCCAGUAUUCUGGCGGGCAGGCCUGUUCGAGCGUCAUUACAACCCUCAGGCCCCCGGGCCUGGCGUUGGGGAUCGGCGGAGCCCCCCGUGGGCACACGCCGUCCCCCAAAUACAGUGGCGGUCCCGCCGCAGCUUCCAUCGCGUAGUAGCUAACACCUCGCGACUGGAGAGCGGCGCGGCCACGCCGUAAAACACCCAACUCUUCUGAAGUUGACCUCGAAUCAGGUAGGAAUACCCGCUGAACUUAAGCAUAUCAAUAAGCGGAGGA
rnacentral:misc_RNA from 1 species